rnacentral:lncRNA from 13 species
CACUUUUGCUUUCAUCCUUAGACAUAUAACUUUCUUUGGGAACGUUUACACAAAACACCCUGCCUCCUGUGGUACGACCUCGGGUUCAUUCAGUUCCAUUCAAAAGGGCCAAGAGUGAACUGAACAUGACAGAACAUCCCAAUUUCCUCAGCAAACAAACAAAGGGUGGGGUGGCCAGUCAUCUCAUUAACCCUCAGUAUAUGGAGAAGAAUGCGGUGACAACUCCAAGCCCGAGUCAUUCAUGAGCUGACACUGAGGGCCCAGGAGAACUGGCCCUUCUAGGAGGUAAAGCAAUAUCCCAGAAGAACAUGACAUCAUCACACCGUUUGCAUGCAACAUAAAAAAAAAGAGGUUUCAUUAAGGUUCACCUAGGUCGCGAGACAUAAGAAGGCCGGGUUCAUCAGUCAGUCAGGUUUUCUCUGGGAUACAGGUGGGGCUAGUGUACAUACUACAGUACAUACUCAUAACAUAUGAUAAAUAUGAAGAAAUUAAGAGGCAAUUGUUUUAAAAUGUGCCCAACCAUGCCCACGUCAUUUGCAAUCCCCCCAAAAUUAUCACAGUGAUAUAAUGAGUAUUGGUCAGUGCCUGUUUCGGCUACUUUUGGACAACGCAACACAAUCACAAUAAAUAGUCUCCCCAUCACUUGUGCUAUGCUCACCAGGUUAGUAGUCUCUGAGGUAAAAUGUUGUGUCUGCUUUGACACUGUGUGUGCUGGUGUGUGCAACGUGGUCUCAGGG